AGGUUUUUAGUUUAAUUGGAAAAAAAGCAUCAAUCUUCUAAAUUGAAGAUGUGAGUUCGAAUCUCAUAAAACCAA
rnacentral:tRNA from 1 species